AAAAAGAAGAACAAAAUCACAAAUCGAACAGUUAUUUGUGGACAGGCCACUGAAAUUCACCUUCGGGAACAGUUUGAAAGAAGAUAAACCAGGAUCAAACAAACCAGCGGCAUGAAGACUCUUCUAACCGUCCUCCUGUUUUUCACAUUGGCUACCUUACUCCUGCCCUCGGGAGAGGCGAUCCUUCGCGGGGGCCGAGAUGUGAUUCCGCAUGAGAAAACUGAACGAGAUGCAGAUGCAUUGUAUGACUUCUUGGAAAGAGCCAGGAAAGUACCUCGUUAUCACAAGCGAAAUAAUAAAAAAUGGCGGGACGAGAACAAAUAUGAAUCCUGAGCGUACAAGAGGUGAAUAAGGCAGCAUUCACGAUUUUCCACUGUAAACAUUCAACAGUAAGAAUAAAUUGAUACAUGAAAAGAGA